rnacentral:rRNA from 1 species
GAUGAACGCUGGCGGCGUGCCUAAUACAUGCAAGUCGAGCGAAGCGGGGACGGGUGAGGAACACGUGGAUAACAUCCUAUAAGACCGGGAUAACUUCGGGAAACCGGCGCUAGCCCGGAUACUGAGAGAGGGAUCGCGGCUGCAUUAGCUAGUUGGUAAGUUAACGGCUUACCAAGGCAAGGCUGCAUAGCCGACCUGAGAGGCUGAUCGGCCACACGGGAACUGAGACACGGUCCAAACUCCUACGGGAGGCAGCAGUAGGGAAUCUUCCGCAAUGGGCGAAAGCCUGACGGAGCAACGCAGCGUGAGUGAGGAAGGUCUUCGGAUCGUAAAGCUCUGUUAUUAGUGAAGCGGUACUUAAUCAGAAAGCCACGGCUAACUACGUGCCAGCAGCCGCGGUAAUAC